GAUGAACGCUAGCGGCAGGCUUAAUACAUGCAAGUCGAGGGGUAGCAAGAUUGUAGCAAUACAAUUGUUGACGACCGGCAAACGGGUGCGGAACACGUACACAACCUUCCUACAAGUGGGGAAUAGCCCAGAGAAAUUUGGAUUAAUACCCCGUAACAUAGCGAUGUGGCAUCACAUUGCUAUUAUAGCUUCGGCGCUUGUUGAUGGGUGUGCGGCUGAUUAGAUAGUUGGCGGGGUAACGGCCCACCAAGUCUACGAUCAGUAGCUGAUGUGAGGGCAUGAGCAGCCACACAGGCACUGAGACACGGGCCCGACUCCUACGGGAGGCAGCAGUAAGGAAUAUUGGACAAUGGACGCAAGUCUGAUCCAGCCAUGCCGCGUGAAGGAUUAAGGUCCUCUGGAUUGUAAACUUCUUUUAUAAGGGACGAAAAAAGGUCUUUCUAGAUCGUCUGACGGUACCUUAUGAAUAAGCACCGGCUAACUCCGUGCCAGCCGCCGCCGUAACAC
rnacentral:rRNA from 1 species